CUACGGGGGGCUGCAGUGAGGAAUAUUGCACAAUGGGGGGAACCCUGAUGCAGCAACGCCGCGUGGAGGAUGACGCAUUUCGGUGUGUAAACUCCUUUUAUAUGUCAAGAAAAUGACGGUAGCAUAUGAAUAAGCACCGGCUAACUCCGUGCCAGCAGCCGCGGUAAUACGGAGGGUGCAAGCGUUACUCGGAAUCACUGGGCGUAAAGGACGCGUAGGCGGGCUUGUAAGUCAGGUGUGAAAUCCUACAGCUUAACUGUAGAACUGCACUUGAAACUACGAGCGUAGAGUAUGGGAGGGGGAGAUGGAAUUAGUGGUGUAGGAGUAAAUUCCGUAGAUAUCACUAGGAAUACCUAAAGCGAAGGCGAUCUCCUGGAACAUAACUGACGCUAAGGCGUGAAAGCGUGGGGAGCAAACAGGAUUAGAUACCCCCGUAGUC
rnacentral:rRNA from 1 species